CACAUGCAAGUCGAGCGGUAACAGGGGUAGCUUGCUACCCGCUGACAAGCGGCGGACGGGUGAGUAAUGCAUAGGAAUCUGCCCGGUAGUGGGGGAUAACCUGGGGAAACCCAGGCUAAUACCGCAUACGUCCUACGGGAGAAAGGGGGCUCCGGCUCCCGCUAUUGGAUGAGCCUAUGUCGGAUUAGCUAGUUGGUGAGGUAAUGGCUCACCAAGGCGACGAUCCGUAGCUGGUCUGAGAGGAUGAUCAGCCACAUCGGGACUGAGACACGGCCCGAACUCCUACGGGAGGCAGCAGUGGGGAAUAUUGGACAAUGGGCGAAAGCCUGAUCCAGCCAUGCCGCGUGUGUGAAGAAGGCCCUCGGGUUGUAAAGCACUUUCAGCGAGGAAGAACGCCUAGUGGUUAAUACCCACUAGGAAAGACAUCACUCGCAGAAGAAGCACCGGCUAACUCCGUGCCAGCAGCCGCGGUAAUACGGAGGGUGCAAGCGUUAAUCGGAAUUACUGGGCGUAAAGCGCGCGUAGGUGGCUUGAUAAGCCGGUUGUGAAAGCCCCGGGCUCAACCUGGGAACGGCAUCCUGAACUGUCAAGCUAGAGUGCACGAGAGGAAGGUAGAAUUCCCGGUGUAGCGGUGAAAUGCGUAGAGAUCGGGAGGAAUACCAGUGGCGAAGGCGGCCUUCUGGACUGACACUGACACUGAGGUGCGAAAGCGUGGGUAGCAAACAGGAUUAGAUACCCUGGUAGUCCACGCCGUAAACAAUGU
rnacentral:rRNA from 1 species